rnacentral:tRNA from 1 species
GCGGGUAUAGCUCAGUGGUUGAGCACUUGCUUCCCACGUACGAGGUCCUGGGUUCAAUCCCCAGUACCUUCU